AUUGAACGCUGGCGGCAGGCCUAACACAUGCAAGUCGGGCGGUAACAGGGAGAAGCUUGCUUCUCUGCUGACGAGCGGCGGACGGGUGAGUAAUGUAUGGGGAUCUGCCUGAUGGCGGGGGAUAACUACUGGAAACGGUAGCUAAUACCGCAUAAUGUCUUCGGACCAAAGCGGGGGACCUCCGGGCCUCGCGCCAUCAGAUGAACCCAUAUGGGAUUAGCUAGUAGGUAAGGUAACGGCCUACCUAGGCGACGAUCCCUAGCUGGUCUGAGAGGAUGGUCAGCCACACUGGGACUGAGAAACGGCCCAGACUCCUACGGGAGGCAGCAGUGGGGAAUAUUGGACAAUGGGGGCAAGCCUGAUGCAGCCAUGCCGCGUGUAUGAAGAAGGCCUUCGGGUUGUAAAGUACUUUCAGUCGGGAGGAAGGUGUCAAGGUUAAUAACCUUGGCAAUUGACGUUACCGACAGAAGAAGCACCGGCUAACUCCGUGCCAGCCGCCGCAGUAA
rnacentral:rRNA from 1 species